AAAGACAGAACAGGUACGAAAAUUAACAGUUAUGUCAACAUGCAAUCAUUCCCAGUGAAGCAUCUCCUCUUCGGUUGCAGUUGAAGCAAUUAUAAAUGUCUGCAAUGUAGAAUCAUAAUAAGGCAGCAUUUAGCAAAAAUAAUUUGCAUAUAGUGGAAUGCUGUGGCCAGUGACCAGUAAUCUUUAUACAUGCUUAUAGAUUUAUGUUUUCCCUCAUCUAUCUAUGCAUGAAUGAUGAAUCAUGAACCUAUAAAACCAUUUGCAUUAGAAAUAAAAAAAAGAAGGUAAAAUACACUUUGCACCCUUGCAAUUUCACCUAAAUCUAAUUUUCCUUCACCUUUUCUUUUCACUUCAUGCAUUGAAGACCCUAAUUCUAUGAUCAAUAACUCCCACUAAAACAAAUCCUUUGGUGAUCUCCGCAUAAUUGUUACAAACAUUAAAG
rnacentral:lncRNA from 1 species